CCACCCCAAUUUAGAUGUAUACUUUGACUUUAUGAGGGCUGUGGUUUUGUGGGAAGAGCAGGGUCUUGCCCUUAUUAGACUAUGCCUCAUUAUUAAUUAAAGAGAAGGUCAUUCUUGGAGUCAGUCACCUGAAAAAGAGGCUUGCUCCUCUGACUGGAAGGAGAAUGGGGCUGGGGAGGGAAGGGUUUUGUUGGAUGGAACUGUGCUUAACUGUUGGACCUGAGUGACUGAAUGCGGUGUCCAUGAAAGAGCUGGCUAGGUGUGUGUUCGGGGGGGACCAGCCUUGUGGGGGCAGAGGACUAAGACACAAAGGAUACUGUCAAGGAACCUGUGAAGUCACACCUGCUUUUUUGGGCCAGAGUAUGUGUAUCUUAAGACCACAGCCUGGAUUGGUAGAUAUAGAGGGUUUACUCCUUGGGCAGUGUUGGACUCUUGAUGAAGUAACAGGUAGAGGAUGAAGUUUGUAGACUUUGUACCUCUCACAUUUGCGCCCACUUCUUAAUUUUUUAAUUGCAUUUACG